AACGGUCUAUACCUGCGGUACCUGCGGAGGGAUCAUUACACAAUAAUAUAUGAAGGCUGCUCGCGGCUGGAGUAUUUAUUACCCUUGUCUUUUGCGCACUUGUUGUUUCCUGGGCGGGCUCGCCCGCCACCAGGACCACAUACAAACCUUUUUUAUGUAGUUGCAAUCAGCGUCAGUAUAACAAAUGUAAAUCAUUUACAACUUUUAGCAAUGGAUCUCU
rnacentral:misc_RNA from 1 species